AAGAAAUUGGUGUUCCAGUUCCUUCUUUUCGUUCACAGCCCUGAAUUUGCUAUGGGAAAAGAGAGGUUGCCCCAAAUAUGAAUUCGUUGUCUUCAAUCGCCCAACAAUGUAACGGACGUUUGCCCCUCAAUCAAAGUUUGCCCCUCAAUCAAAGUUGGCCACGAAUCCAAACAUAAAUCUCCAAUAAUCCAAACCACCCAGGCGCGUAUCCAAACAUAAAUAUCCAAUAAUCCAAACCGUGCUUUAGCUUUAAUGCUUUCU
rnacentral:misc_RNA from 1 species